rnacentral:rRNA from 1 species
AUCUUCCGCAAUGGGCGAAAGCCUGACGGAGCAACGCCGCGUGAGUGAUGAAGGGUUUCGGCUCGGAACACUCUGUUAUUUGGGAAGAACAAAUGUGUAAGUAACUGUGCACAUCUUGACGGUACCUAAUCAGAAAGCCACGGCUAACUACGCGCCAGCAGCCGCGGUAAUACGUAGGUGGCACGCGUUAUCCGGAAUUAUUGGGCGUAAAGCGCGCGUAGGCGGUUUCUUAAGUCUGUUGUGAAAGCCCACGGCUCAACCGGGGAGGGUCAUUGGAAACUGGGAAACUUGAGUGCAGAAGAGGAAAGUGGAAUUCCAUGUGUAGCGGUGAAAUGCGCAGAGAUAUGGAGGAACACCAGUGGCGAAGGCGACUUUCUGGUCUGUAACUGACGCUGAUGUGCGAAAGCGUGGGGAUCAAACA